UGCUUCAGUAUUCACUGGAGUGAGGGGU
rnacentral:piRNA from 1 species